rnacentral:rRNA from 1 species
CUACGGGAGGCUGCAGGCGAGAAAACUUUGCAAUGUGCGAAAGCACGACAAGGUUAAUCCGAGUGGUUUGUGCUAAACGAACCUUUUGACAGUCCUAGAAACACUGUUGAAUAAGGGGUGGGCAAGUUCUGGUGUCAGCCGCCGCGGUAAAACCAGCACCUCAAGUGGUCAGGAUGAUUAUUGGGCCUAAAGCAUCCGUAGCCGGCUCUGUUAGUUUUCGGUUAAAUCUGUACGCUUAACGUACAGGCUGCCGGGAAUACUGCAGAGCUAGGGAGUGGGAGAGGUAGACGGUACUCGAUAGGAAGGGGUAAAAUCCUUUGAUCUAUUGAUGACCACCUGUGGCGAAGGCGGUCUACCAGAACACGUCCGACGGUGAGGGAUGAAAGCUGGGGGAGCAAACCGGAUUAGAUACCCUAGUAGUC